rnacentral:rRNA from 1 species
CCUACGGGUGGCAGCAGUGGGGAAUAUUGCGCAAUGGGCGAAAGCCUGACGCAGCGACGCCGCGUGAGGGAUGAAGGUCUUCGGAUCGUAAACCUCUGUCAGCAGGGAAGAACGGUCACUGUGCUAAUCAGCAGUGAAUUGACGGUACCUGCAAAGGAAGCACCGGCUAACUCCGUGCCAGCAGCCGCGGUAAUACGGAGGGUGCGAGCGUUAAUCGGAAUUACUGGGCGGAAAGCGCUCGUAGGCGGUAUGUCAAGUCAAGGGUGAAAUCCCCGCGCUCAACGUGGGAACUGCCUUUGAAUAGGGAAGACGGGAGUGUGUGAGAGGAGAGUGGAAUUCGGGGUGUAGGGGUGAA